GAUGAACGCUAGCGGGAGGCCUAACACAUGCAAGCCGAGCGGUAUUGUUUCUUCGGAAAUGAGAGAGCGGCGUACGGGUGCGUAACACGUGUGCAACCUGCCUUUAUCUGGGGGAUAGCCUUUCGAAAGGAAGAUUAAUACUCCAUAAUAUAUUGAACGGCAUCGUUUAAUAUUGAAAGCUCCGGCGGAUAGAGAUGGGCACGCGCAAGAUUAGCUAGUUGGUGAGGUAACGGCUCACCAAGGCGAUGAUCUUUAGGGGGCCUGAGAGGGUGAUCCCCCACACUGGUACUGAGACACGGACCAGACUCCGACGGGAGGCAGCAGUGAGGAAUAUUGGUCAAUGGGUGCAAGCCUGAACCAGCCAUCCCGCGUGAAGGACGACUGCCCUAUGGGUUGUAAACUUCUUUUGUAUAGGGAUAAACCUACCCUCGUGAGGGUAGCUGAAGGUACUAUACGAAUAAGCACCGGCUAACUCCGUG
rnacentral:rRNA from 1 species